CCUACGGGAGGCAGCAGUGAGGAAUAUUGGUCAAUGGCCGUAAGGCUGAACCAGCAAAGUCGCGGGAAGGAAGAAGGAUCUAUGGUUUGUAAACCUCUUUUAUCGGGGAAUAAAGGUAUCCACGGGUGUAUCUUUGCAUGUACCCUAUGAAUAAGCAUCGGCUAACUCCGUGCUAGCAGCCGCGGUAAUUCGGCGGAUGCGAGCUUUAUCCGGAUUUAUUGGGUUUAAAGGGUGCGUCGGUUGGGUUUUAAGUCAGCGUGGAAAGUUCGUGGCCCAACCAGAACAGUGCCGUUGAAACUGGAAGACUUGAGUGGGUUUGAGGUAUGCGGAAUGCGUGGUGUAGCGGUGAAAUGCAUAGAUAUCACGCAGAACUCCGAUUGCGAAGGCAGCUUACUAAGCCAUAACUGACACUGAAGCACGAAAGCGUGGGGAUCAAACAGGAUUAGAUACCCCUGUAGUC
rnacentral:rRNA from 1 species